rnacentral:rRNA from 1 species
CCUACGUGUGGCAGCAGUGAGGAAUAUUGGUCAAUGGACGGACGUCUGAACCAGCCAUGCCGCGUGCAGGAAGACGGCUCUAUGAGUUGUAAACUGCUUUUGUACAAGGGUAAACCUGAAUACGUGUAUUCAGCUGAAAGUACUGUACGAAUACGGAUCGGCUAACUCGGUGCCAGCAGCAGCGGUAAUAAGGAGGAACCAAGGGUUAUACGGAUUUAUUGGGUUUAAGGGGUGCGGAGGCGGAUUGAUAAGUUAGAGGUGAAAUGUCCGGGCUUAACCCGGGAACUGCCUCGAAUACUGUUGAUCUAGAGAGUAGAUGCGGUAGGCGGAAUGUAUGGUGUAGCGUUGAAAUGCUUAGAGAUCAUACAGAACACCGAUUGCGAAGGCAGCUUACCAAUCUAUAUCUGACGUUGAGGCACGAAAGCGUGGGGAGCAAACAGGAUUAGAUACCCUUGUAGUC